ensembl:lncRNA
UGAUAUCUUGUUUAGAUAACAUCUUUUGUGGAAAAUUAAAAAAAAAGAAGGUUACUAGGAUGAUCAGGAAAGAUUUGGGUGAGUUGGGAAAUGAUUGCAGUCUACAGAAGCCUAAAAUCCUAUUGACUUUCAGAUGCCAGAAAGGCCUGCUCAUGUCUGCAAGAUGAGUUUCUCAUGGCUCUGUGAUGAUAAUGUGUUGAUCCUUAUCCAGCAUGAGCUAUCUACAUCAUCUUCUUUGACUGCUAAGCUCUCAGAGCAAACACUGCUGCUGAGGAACAAAAGUAAGGUUUUCAGACUCGUUUUGGGAAGAAUCUUUCUCAUCUACCACUGCAAGCUGUAGAGGAAAUUGAGUUCAUCAACAAGUGUCUCCAUCCUGCUCUGGAGCAGAAGAAAACCGUGAUUACCUGACAGCCAUUAGUUUACCUGUAGUGGGAGGCACCAUCAAUUUCCAUCAAUUUUACUGCUGCAAAAAUAAUGUGCUGCUGUAGUUCUUCCAAAGGUCAAUUUCUGCAUGAGGUAUAUCGACUGCAGGGAUGUAAACUGUAAAUAAACAGCUGCAUAAUUUAUCUUCUUUGAUAUUACUUGAUUCAUCAUGAGCUUUAAGUUGAUCAGCAAAGAAAAUGGAAUCACUGCCUUGAAAUUUCAUGGUGCAUCAGAUAACUUAGAAAUGAUAGGGACUUUGGUUAUAUAAAUGUUGCUAUAUAGAAUGUCAGGCAACAGCCAAUAUUAGCAUUGCAGAGCCAAUAUUACACAGCAAAUGUAUCUGUCAACCUCUCUGUGUGCUUUUACUAGUUUUGAAAAUCCCAGAAUGGAUCGAGUUGUCUGAAGCACUGGCAGGUUCUCAUUGCAAUGUGUGCCGUGCAGUGAGGGAUAUCUGGUAUUACCCCAAAACUGUGACCAUCUGAAACUUUAGUUCCUUGCACCUAUGGAAGAACAAUGGGGCUAUUAUGACUUGUCCUUUGUUGUUUUUUGUUUUAUUUGGUUGGUUGGUUGGUUUUUAAAGGGGACAGUGCAUGAUACAGGGAAAUUUGGAGCAUGCAGAUAGUUUCGUGCAGAACAAGUUUUCAGAAUUAGUAAUGCUUGUGUUAUUUCAGUACAGUGUCAAGGACCAAGCGUACUCAGAGGAGAUUCUGUGCCCCAAGGACUUUCUUCUCAAGAACACGGAGAUGAUUCCCAAAUGAUAAUUUUCCCAGCUAGGGGCUGUUCAGGCUGUCUUUAUUCCAUAGCUCUGUGAUAGAUAGGCCUUGAGAAAUUGCUGCACUUUUCUCUUGGGAGCACACUCGAGUUUUCAAGCCUGGGUGUGGCAAUUUCUGUUUAGACUUCACAAUUGGCCACUGGAGAACAUAGAGUCCAUGGCAGAUAUCUUAGUGCAGACUCUAAAGUCUGUCUUUUGUCUAAUGGGACAGAAUUCUGAAGAGUGGUCUGUCCCCUUGGUUAAAGCAAGAAAGGCAGCGUUAAGUUUCUUAACCUCAUAACACUCCCUCUCAGACUACUUCAGUCACAGCUUAUUUGCAUCACCUGGAAGAGGCAGUGGUACACACUACAGCCACAAAGAAAAUAAUUUUCUCCCUAUUAUCUGUCUUUAACAAAGCAGGAAAAUCCCAAUAUGCUGGAAAAGGCAUCUGCUGGGUAACUUAUGUUAGUGCAAAGGAGUCAUCGAGCCAGCAUUGCUGGGUCAGUACAUUUGUGUAACAUGUCAUCUGUACUGGUGUAAGACACUAUUAGAAUUGUGUUGCUUUGAUGACAUAUUACUUGAUGAAAUAAGAUCAGCUGUCAAAAACCCAUUCCAGUGUCUGAGGCACUCAAUGUUUUGUUGGGGGAAAAGGUUCGUUUCAUUCCUGAAAAAAAUGCAUUAUUCAGUAUGGAGAACUGAAGGGCAGUCAGGCUGAAGCUGAGAGGCUUCAUGAAGGCAGACAAGUCCCCUUGAAAUUCCACUGCUUAGCCAGGGUGGUAGGGCCCAGGGCAUGGGGAGCAGUCUCUGUCCCUGGAGGUGCUCCAGAACUGAUGUGGCACUGAGGGACAUGGUCAGUGGGCAUGGUGGGGAUGGGUUGGGGUUGGACUUGAGGAUCUCAGUGGUCUUUGCCAACCUUAACGAUUCCAUGAUUCUGUGAUCUCCUGCAGCUCAUCAAUAGACCUGAAAUAGCUGAAAUAAUGCACACAUUUAUGCCUAUUUGGGGAUAAAUGUCACCACAGACCUAACACCUUCACAGCGUCCCAUCCAGCAGCAGAUGCUGAGCAGCAUAAUGCAGAACAGAAUCUCCCUUUUCCUGCCCCACCAGAAGGGAAUGUCUGGGAUAAUGCCUUGCAAAUCUCGCCAUGAAAACAUGCCAUUAUUCCCCGUGUAUGAUUAGUCUUUCAUGCUUCCCUUGUUACAAAUACGUAACACAUGCUACGGCACAGAAUGUGAUAAUGUAUUCUAAUGCGAUCUUUAAUGCUGAUAUUUAAAAACCUGUUCCUGAGUAGCACAAUUUGAGUUUCACACGAAUGUACCGCUACCAUUUUUUCCUGUUUUAAAGCACAAAGUCUUUCCGGCAAAAGGUAGGCAUUAUGUCAAUCCGCUUUUGCUCCUUUCUUCCUUCAGUUAUGUGCAGUUAAACGUUUUCUUCAUCUUCUAGGGGAAAAAUGAAUGAAUUAUUCUAGAACAAUGCACACCGCAGUGUGUGUGUGUGUGUAUUGGUGAGUCAAAACGCAAACAUUGAGAGAAGACAUUCUCAUUUGUUUCCAUCCCAGUUUUAAGUGAUAUUUUAGGAAGCAAUCAUAAUAAAGAGAGCUGAAGGAGCUGAAGGAAUUAUUUCUCAGUUAGACAGCAGCCUGCUGUUAUCUCUAAUCUAAGAGGCACUGGAUAGAGGUCAUCGUUUGAUCAAUGAGGUGAAUUUCAUUUUAUGGUGCUGAAAACAGACAGAGAAUGGUACAAUCGAGUGCUUUCAAAAAGAAAACAGAAGCAGUAAGAGAGUGAUGGAAGAACCGUAACAAAAAUAAACAGGUUUAUUGCUAUAUUAAGCCUGUUUUACAAGGACUCCAUAGUGCAGAAAGAGGAUGUCACCCAACUGUAGCCCCCCAGAUAGACAGGAUUUAUAAACACGUUGACUGUCUUGUGGACAAAUGGGGUUAAUGCGGUACACUGCUACAUUCAAAGAUUAUCUCCCAUAAAGGAUAAGCAAUUGAGUUUUCACACUGAAGCAGUAAUGCAGUGUGACUUUCAGGAGUCCCCACGCAGAGGUGCUGGCAGCAUUGGCACUUCCUUGCUGUCCGAAGUGCAGUGUGUUCCUCCGCAGUGGUUUAUCUCCAUGGAGCUUUUUGCCAUCUCCAGCUUUUGCAGGUGCUCAGGGUGCAAUGCAGACUGGCCAGGUUUUACUUGCAGCACUGUCUGAAAUGGAUUGAGAAGCCUGAGUUAAUCGUUUCCUAUUGAGGUUUUAUAGCUCAUUCGGAGUAUUGAGCACAGGCAUGUUGUCAUGGUAAUUGAGCAAUUAUUUCAUGUAUAAAUCUAGACCAUAUCAUAGAUGAACCUUAAACCAGCAUCUGCUCUUCCAUUCAAGAGCAGUAAAAGGGGCAGUGCAUUCCUCGUGCUUUUGAUGUCCUGCUUACAAGUGGCUGUCUGGGAAGAAGUUAAAAAUACUUCCUCACAAAAUACUGAAUUUCACAAUAAAAACAAUUGAUUACAUCCAUUGGAAUGAUCCAUCGUGGAGCAUCAUGGAGAAAGAUAACUUUUGGCAGAGGAAGCGAGGCAACCAAUAUUGAUAAAAGCAAGUAGAUGAGCAGGAGGAAAAGAUUGCUCAUAUAUAGAGAAGGAUAAAUGGAUUUGAUAAACGUAUGUACCAGAAAAAUGGACAACCAUGUAUCUGUCAUGGUAUCAGGAAAUGCUAUGAUUCUGAGUGCCUGACUACUACUGGUGUCUCGGUUGUAAAAGGAAGUCAGACUGGAGGAGUUCCUUGGUUAAGGUGGUAAGAGGGAGAUUUUUUUUCCAGAGGAAAACCUUACAUUGUAUCUGAGCAAUCAAUGGGAAGCUAAAGAGCACCUGCUGUCAGCACAGAUUAAUCUGGAAUUCCUUCACCUCUUCAGAUCCUUGUGCAUCAAACAUUAGUUUGCAUCAAAAGUUGGAACAGUGACUCAAAGAUCUCAGGAGUUCACAAAACUACAAGAGCAAAUCAAGGAAAAUGCCUCCCAUUUCUAUGGCCUGCAGACUUCAAAACCUGUAAUUGUGCUGGAAGUCUUUGAUCUCACCAUUACUCCUCUGUCGACUUUGAAGUCAAAAGGAUAGGGUUAUUGCAGUGGGAUCCUGAUGUGUCAAGUGUUAAUUCCCCGCAGCCACAUUCAAGGCACACCGUAUUAGCUACUGACCACUAAGUGCUAAAGGGUGUAACCACAUGUAGAGUUUUCCUCCUGCUCAGGGUUUCACACAUCAGUAGUUUCAGUGCACAGUUUGUUACUAACAGAGAGGUCACUGCAGACCACUGAUGCAUAGGACCUCAGGAAUGUGUUUUCUGGGACAAACGGGCAAUUAUGUAUUUUUAAUAAUCAAUUCUUACAGCUGAGCAAGAGUUAAAACGAUGUCAAAAACUAACCUGAAUAGUAGCAAAUGUUAUUUUUGGAACCUAGGAGGGAGCCCAGGGAAGAGGAGGGAUGAGCAGAGGCUGGCACAUGGGGAGCUGUGCCUGCUGACCCCUGGCACGGGACCUAACUGCUGCAGAGCCCCAUCGCUCCACAGCAUCGCUCCUAACUUUUGUCAUGCUGCAAUGAAGCAUCCCUGGAGUUCUGCAAUGGUUCCUAUGUGGCCGGAGUGGCUUUCUUAUUUCAACCUCUUGAGCAUCGAUUGUUGAGUCGCUUCCUCAUCAUUAAAAGCUCGUCAGGGACAAGCUCUGGAGUUCAGAAGCUCUGUGCAGUCACCAUGGCCUUCGGAUGCCCCAAGGGCACCAGCAGAGAGGAACGAGUGUGGCGAGAGCGCAGGCAGCUGUGAGCACACUGCAAUGUCAUUGCUGAUAUCUUCUCUGUGUUUUUAAAUACCAGUACAACAAAUGCCAGCACUGAACCAGAGGGAAAACUGAUGGCAUUCGGGGAUCACUGAAUGGAGGACUGGGCAUUCAGAGCUUCAUACUGCCCAGCAGUGAGAAGCAGACAUACGCUUUGCUGAUCUCAUGUACUCCUCCACCAUAAAAAGCUGCUCGCAGUUACAGUGAUGUUUCUAGAAGGUGAGUAUAUGUAUGUCAGGAGAAAAAAUAACACUUGCAUUGAAGGAUGAUUUAAGAUUAUUCUUCCACACUUCUGUAUAAGAUUGGAUCUAUUGUAACCUUCCUAAACCUUUGUUACCUUUGUAAUUUAAACUGACAGGUUAAAUGCUAAUGCAAUUGAUAGGGGUGAACAACUGGUCAAGGAACAACCUGAUCUGACUGUAUAAUGCAUCGGAGAAUUGCAAAAAUAUGCAGGUCAGAUGUAAUUUUGACAGAAAAUGGCUCGCUGCAAGGGUUUAUGUUUCCCUGGAUAGUCUUAAAAAGAGUUGGACUCUAGUAAGUACCACAUUGCUUGAAAAAAAUACAAAGUUAAACUUAAUGGAAAAAAUCCAAGUUCUCAAUAUCCUCAGAUUUCAUUAUCAGUUUUUAUUGGAGCCAGGGUAAUAAGAUUAUAGAAUUAAAAGAAAAGUUAUACCCAUUUUCUUCAGCCCAGCACUUCUAAUGUGCAAAAAGAAAGCGGCACUCAUUUCUCACCAUAAAUACACACUGAAAACUACCUGUAAAAAGAAGCGGUCUCUGACCGUGUACAGCCUGAUUUGGUCCUUAUUGAAGCAGAAAUUCUGUUACUUCAACAGGCGCUGGGUCACAGCAAUUACUGGUAACAGUAGAUAAAAAGGCAUUGUCUCAUGCAUUAAUCCUGAGUUAACGGUUUUCCACUUGGCACAGCAAUAAAUGGUUGGUGAGUGAGCCCAGGGUGUGAAUCUGGGUGUUCCUAUAUUAAUCGGGUGCCCAGAGCAGCUGCCUGCAGAAGCAGCCUCUCUUUUCAGGUAUAACACACAUUCAGGUGAAAUGGAAACACCUGGGAGGACAGAGGGCAGUUCUGGGAGACCUCCUGACCUGCAGGUUUCUACCACCAUGCUGGGGAAGUAGCUGCUCUUCUUGGAAACUUCCCACCAAGAAGAGUGUGGGCAAAUUCACAAUUUGUCAUCGCUGACAUUAUAGUGAUGUAUUUUUGGUAGGAGAGUGUUCAAAAGAGCAUUCAUUUGCUUUGUGUAUAAACUCUGAAAUGCCAGAAAUUGCUCAGCCUGUGCCAGCACCGAGCACUCCCCAGCUGGAAGAGGUGGGAAGGAGCCCCUCUGACAACCGACAGCAAGCAAUAAACAGAGCAGCACAGAGAGAGAAAGAAUGGACAUUUAACCUCUCCCUCCAAAAAAACCCCACCCUACUGUUUAAUAUUUUUCUAUUAUUUUACUAUGUUUUCUUUUUUUUCAGAGGAAACUUCAGGGUUGAGUUUCUCCUUUAGACGGUGCAAGUGCUCCCUGUAUUCUAUUCUUCAACCAUACAAAUGCUUAUAAAAUAGAAAUGUGAAUUGCCUCGGUGCUUUUAAAUACCUUAAAAAUAAUAAUUCAGGGACUCCUGUAUGAGAUGGAGCUGUCCCUCACUGCUUUAACCUGUGGAGUAGGUUAGCAUAACAUGGAAUCAAUUAUUGUACUAGACAUAUAAAACUGUCAGGUUUAAUACUUAACUGUAGUAUUUGCCUUGAAUGCUUGAUUUCCAGUCAUGUGUGAAGCUCCAGAAAGACAGAGAUAUCAGACAGAUUUUGGUGGAAGAAAUGACUUUGAGUACCCCGAGUUACAAAGGGAAAUCUGGAUGAGUGAUACACCCUGGGAAAGGAGUCCUUUUUCAAUCAAACACUUCCCAGUCCCUUAAAGUAAAGUAACGCAGAACACAAACUGCAGAACAAAUAUUAAGUUUCUAUUCUGCAUUGCCAUAGUUGAGACACCAUCUCAUUUCUUUCUCAGCUUCUCUGGAACCAGCUCUGCUUUAGCUGGAACAUUCUACCAAUUCUUUUCCUUUUUUUUUUUCUUAUUUCUGUACACAGAAGGAGAGAAUCAAACACAAAAGAUCUGCCUUGACUUUCACGGCUCUUCUAAUGCUUACAACUAAGCUUUAUUAUAUUAUUUAUUAUACACAAUGGAAAUAAUUAUUAUUACAGUCUUUCCUCUGUCAUGUGCUUUAUUACAUGACCUUGUUAUGGCCAAGGUUGCAAUCUGACAGUGUGCACUGCAUCGGUAGCGGUGACUGCUGGCAGGGAGUCCUUGGUUUGGGACUCUAAAACUGAUGGAUUAAACAGCAUUAAGGACAGUGAAGUGCUAAUACUGCGGUAAUGGACACUGUAAUAUUUCAAAAUAGCUCACAAGUAGAACCAAAACAAUCCAUUGGGCCACUCAAAUCAUGCAGGGUCUGGUUGGAAGCUCCUGGCCAUCUGACACCUUUGGUGUAUUGCUGUAAGUCCAGAAGCACUUGCUACCUGUAGUCCAUAAUAAGUUGGUAACAAAGAGUGAUAACAGUAUGAAGUGGAAGAGAUAUUCAUCUUGGCGUAUUUCAAUCUAGAAGUGACAAUCCUGGAUUGAUUCAUUCUCUGAGGAAUAAACCUCCUCUUACAAAAAAAAAAAAAGAAAAGAAAAAACAAGUUUAAAGAAACCAGGAUUUAUCCUCAAGAUCACCACUCAUUUUCUUUUAGAAAUUACAUUCUAGACAAUAAGAGAUCACAGACCUGUAAAUUGCAUUUUAACUUUCAGGUAACAUACUAGGGCUAUAACAAAAUCUGAGGACUAUUAUCAUAGCAAAAUAACUGUAAUGCUUCAAGGCUGUAAUAACCAUCUCCUUUUUAUCAUCCAUACUACCAUCAGGCCAAGAAACAGUGAAUUUCUUUAAUGUUAUUCUGCCAUAACCUUUAACUGUAUGCAUUAUUUCAAACACCUGGAAUAAUACUUUAUAUGGCACAACAGAAUAAUACAUUUGCCACUCACUGCACAGCAUAGUUGGCUAAACCCAAAUGAGUACAAAUGCUUAAAUCUGCUGUGCGUAUCGUAGAUAUACAUCCAUUCCUUCUACUGUGCUGUGGACUGACCUUUACGUGACAAGGAAGUUGAAGGAACAUUAGAAAGCAUAAGGUUUGUACUUAAAGUCAAUGAAGGCUCUUUCAGUUAUAUCAUCAUUAUAAAACUGUACUGCUUACCUGGUUUUGGGAGGGCUGUACUUGGCUAGCUCACACACACUUUAUGUGGAAUCUACAGCAUAAAUACUCUGUGGGUUCAUUAUAAAAAUAUGUUUGUGAUAUACCUUUCUGGUGUCCUUUGUGUUCUUUCAUGAAGUGUUUAUUCCUGUUAUAUCAAGCAUAAUGCAUAAUACCAACACCAUACAUAGAGCAUCUUGAUAAAUAAUCAUGCAUAUGCUCCAGUGGUUUUCUACAUAAAUGCUCCUAUAUAUAAGUUACUACAGCCCAGGGCUCUGAAUGGAUCAAAUUUGUAAACACAUCACUAUAUUUCUUACCUCUAUUGAAGUGUAUUAUGAUAGCAGUGCUGGCAUUUAUCUAGACUGUUGAUAUAAAGGUUUCUACCCACACGAGCAAUGCAUAUUGCAUUAUGCAAUUCUGUAAUAAACUGCUUGAAAUAUUACCAGAGACAGAGCAUGCUGGAAAACAUUGAGUGAGCCCUGAGGUGGAAUGGUUCCUACUGAGUACAGAGCACUUUGGAUCAGGCCUUGGAGGAUACUACCUAUAAAAUAACACGUUUGAAGAACUUAAUUGUGAUUUCCUCAAUGUCACCCUGUCACUCUGAAAACCGGAUGCUUUAGUUCAAUGAAAGGUCUCAGCAGUGCAGUACAGCUUUUCGUCAAAGUUUAACUGCUUCAAAGAAUUUGGAAACUUCAUUUCUAUGAAGUUGGGCAUGGCCUUGAGUUGUACUAAAGGACUUCAUGUCACUGUGAGCACGUAAACACAGUGGCAAGGUUUUGGUUCUUCAGUUUGGUGGGAGCGGCUUUAUGCUUCUGUAGGAAACUUGUCCAAGAGAUCUUUGCUUCCAAAAUCUGCUUAGAGAAUCAGCCUCCACCACAGGGUGCCAGGAAGGACACCUGUGGUGUUCAGCCUGAAUGAAAAAUAACAGAGCUCCAAAGCUGUUAUAUUAUUGUUCCACAUCUCCUCUGCUACAGCACACAGCUGGUGGUGACGCGGGAAUGAGGUCCCAGCAAAUCAAGGUUUAUUGGAAUAUUUUUCAACUGCACUAAGGAAAAGGGAUUUGGAUCUAAAGGGUACAGGCGUAGCACAAGGGGCAGCUACUCUCCUACUGGGCAAGCACAAAGUUAUUGGACCUCAGUCUAAUUUUUCUGUGAUUUCUUCUGUGACCUUUUACAAACUACACAGAGUCUGCCCAAGGAAAUCACAAAAUGAUUUCUAUUGGCUUCACUGGGUGAGAGAUUAAGGUUCUAAUUUCUCUUUGAAUCAGUGUUCUCAUUAGUAAAUUACUAGCCUCAAAGCUUAAUGUUUCCAACGCUCUUCAGUAUCCUUGAAGGGAAAUUGAUACUGGAAUGUUAACUGUCCUCAUUGCCAACAGCCAUAUAGCAUACAAAUCUAGAUUAAUAUGAGCAUUUCACUGGUGAUGACAGCACUGUAAAAUCCAUACCUAUGUUCCCACUAACCUAGAAGAACUAGACAAGAGUCAAAGAGAUUAAACGUAAUAGCUAAAGAGAAAGCUGAUUUCUCAGCAGGUGCCUUGUAUUUCCUGCAGGUUUUACUACAGUUUAAGACAGAUUUUCAUUUGCUGUCAUCAGAGCCUCUACUAAACCACGAAAUUCAUUCACAGAGUUAAUCAGCAAGUUCACUUCGCCUGGAUUUGAAAUUCCUGGAGCUGAACGUUCACUUUGUUACAGUACUUAAGGGCUUAUAAUGUCCAAACAGCAUUAUGAACUCCAAGCUCAAGGAACAGUAAAAGUUGUUCAUGCUAUCAGUGGUCAUCUUCUGUAUAAACACCUGAAAGGAAAAGGUGAAGAUUUCAGAGCACCCUUCAGUGGAGAAGAAACUAAAAGACUUAUGGGGAAGUUUCUGGUGAGCUGAGUAUUUCAAAGAAGGGCAAUUCGGAACAUUUUCCAGCACAAGAUCAUUAAAUCUGAGUGAUAUAGUGGGUUUCUUUUGUUAUCUUGGAUAUUAAUUAACAAUUAGCAGAUUGUGGAAAAUAUACGCCUAUAGUUUUUAGCCUUACUUAAGAUAAUAAUGGAAUUUAACCCAGUUAGACGUUCUAAAAGCAGCUUUUGUUAUACUGUUUUUUUUUUGUCAUAUAAUGUUUGCAUCACAGCAAAGGUUUUAUAUUGUUUAAAUGUUAUGUGCUAGACUUACUAGAGUAUUCCAAGCUCUGUAGCUGUGGUUUUGGAUCAAAUGCUUAAAGGAAUGUCCUCAAAACCUCAAAUCAGAUGUCUUCAAACCCUGGAGUUACUGGCUGCUUUGUUGGCUGAGCAGAUGAGCCUGAAUCACAGCUGAUGAUGUUUCCCAGCUGUCAUUCCUGAAGGACCCAAUGUGAUGGAUGUUAUGGACCUCAUGCAGAACACAGUCCCUUGUGUCCUUCCCACCCAGAAGGUCAUUAAUUGCAUUGCUGAGCUGGGAAGAGGCAGGCUGAGGCUGAAUCCUGUGACCUGGUUUGGGAAGGGCUGGGUUCCUCCCUCUGAAUGUCCUCCCUGGACUUGGCCAUCAGUUGUGCAGCAGUAAGGACUACUCAGCAUUUCUUUUGAAGCUGUUCAGCUCGUAUAAAUUCAACUGCCACGACGUCUCCAUAAACUCAUUGGAGUACAGCUUAGAAGGCAGCUGCUUUCCUUUCCCAGUGUGUGUGCUUUAACCUGUAGUCACCAUAACCACACUUACCACAGAGCACUGAACCAUUCCUUGCACCUGUACUCUUGGAAAACACAAUCUAUAUAUAGCUAUUGUGGAAUCUACUGUUCGGAAUAAAUACCUAUCUCCCUUAUCCCACACUGUGCUUCAAAACAACCUCAUUUUGCCAUCACCAAUUAAAACCCCAUCCUUGCUCUAUCUCACAUAUGGUCAUUCAUACCCACCCUUUCAAACUAUCUACACAAUUCCAGUACACUCUUCUUAGCCCUCUAUGCAUACAAUUAACCCAGUCUUUGACUCACGAGUUAUCCAAAAUCCCCCAGUGGUAGAUUCAAUUGUAUACUGGGUGAAUGGGUGACUGGUGCUAUGCAUAAACUUUGUGAUAAAUGACUUCAUCCCUUUAUUAGUGAUAAUUAGAAUGGUAAUUAUUAGACUGUGACAGAUGGUGCAGAUAUUUUGGAAGACUUCAAUGUCAAGAAUCUAGGCAGCAGAUAAACAAUAUUUUAAAAAUAUCAGUGAUAUCUAAAUUGAAAAUUUAAAUUGUGUGGAAGUCAGAACAGGCUUCCUGUUCUGUGGAACAGGAAACCUAGGGGGCAAAAUUUGAGCAUGUAAGGUAGAUAUAGAUAUACAAGCCUAGAAAGAUUAACAGUCUGUCUGGUAUGGUCAUGCUGCUGUCAUUAUUGGGAUUAGAGGCACCUACCUGUCUAUAUGGCUAUUUUAUUUUCCCUUGGUCAAAAAACACCUUGGGGCACAAUCUUGAGCUGACAGUGCUGUUCUCAGGAGAAACAAGCGGAUGCUUCAGUAGAUCUUUCUCUUUUACACUGGCAUAACACAAUAUAAAUCAUAACCCUUCUUUCUUCCUAGCAUUUCGUAGUACCAUCAGUAAUGGAAUAUUAUUUUUUUCAACAACCAUUCAUGUACUGCCUGCACUGUCUGAAUGUCCCAGCUGGAACUGCAUAGGUUAAGGCCUCAAAUCAAUCCUUCCUGCUAACAGCCUGGGGAGCAGGCAAGUGAGUUUCUCACAGAAGGAGAAUUCUGACUAUCUAAAAGUAUAAAAAGGAUACAGACCUGACAAGUUUCAUUUAUUCCAUUCCUCACAUUUCUGAUUUUGCCUGUUCUGCACGUCAGGCAAUUAUUUUAGCACUAAAUGCAACGGUGCACACGCACAUACACUCAUACCUUGUACAAGAAGUUUCUUCAUAAAUAUCUCAGCCACGUGAGCCCAUCAAUAGUUCUCUGCAAGAGGGGUGAAGGUGUGUAUCCACUAGCAUUUCUUGGCAAUGAGUCCUUAUAGCUUCAUCCCUGUGAGAAUAGAAUGUGCCUUUUCAGUAGAUUAAAAAAGAAACCUCCAUCUUCGCUGCAGAGUAUCACUUGACACGCUUGUUGAUUUACUCAACUUAUUUUUCAUUCCAUAAUUCUUCCAGGCUGUGUUCAAAUGAUCUCACCCUACAUUUGUUUGAUGAAGGUUACCAAUCUGGAAAAUCCAUCUACUUCCACCUUCAUUAUUAUGACUGAUAUCUCUGCUGCUCUGUUUACUUGCCUUUAAUUUACUCCAAGGCUAACACUUGUUUUUGGCUGCAUCCACAAGGGAUCCAGUGAUAACUUUCCCCCGUCCCCACCUAGGCAGUGAGCACCUCUGCAAGACAACAAAUCCUUGGCUUUGCAAUAGUGUAAUGUUCUCAUCAGUGUAACAUUCUCAUCAGUGGCAUCAAGAACUGCAGAAAUACUGAGUGGUGUGGUCAGGACAACCCUAACUGACUCUCAGCGGUCACUGAUUUCAGCCACAGCCUGAGAAGUUGAGCAGGAGAACCAUUUCACAUUGGUGCAACAUGAAUAUGAGCAACUGCUCAGCUUUAGUGCUCAUUACCCCAACAACAGUUCUGGAUUAAUUUCUAGUCCCACGGGCCAGCAGGCAACGUGGGCAGAGCAGAAUCAUCCCUUAGUAUUUUAAAAGCCAUCUAUUUAAAAAGUGUUUUAUGUCGAAUUAAAGCUCAUCCAAACUAUUCAACCUGGCCAUAUUUCUUCACCAUUAGCGUUGUAUGUGUCAUCUGUUGUUUCACCACCUGUUAAUCUGCCUGGGCUCUAGCUGUAGAUUUGAUUUAUAAAGAUGCCUAUAUCUUACUCGUUUGCUACAUGCGACCAAUACAACCCCAAUCACUGUCUGCCUUCUCAUGGAACACCCACCUAUUAGUUUAAAUUCUGAGAGACGGGAAAUAAGAAAAAUAAAUAAUUCCCACAACUGUCAUUCACACGUUUCUACCCUUUUAUCAUGACACAACAGGACAUUGUUCAAGUACAUAUUUUGAUUUACAAUUCUUCACCGCCCCCAUUCAUCGCUAUCAAAAAUGAAUUUUUAACCAUGUGUAUAUAAACCCGAUGAUUUGUAUUCAUAAUCAGCUAAGGUUAUAAGGAAUCUCCUGCUGUGGUUAGCUAAGGUAAAGCACACUAAAGCAAAAUUGCUUUACUCACAACCUGUAAUAAUUUCAGAAUGUUAUUUCUAUUUCUUGCAAUGUUCUUGGUAACAUUAGUCAGAUAAAUGAUGCCUUUUGAUCAACAGGAAUGCUCCUUUCUCCAAACAUCAGCUUUGCACUGUAAACACCAAUUCCAAUAGGGUUUGGUGGUUUUUUUUGUUGUUGUUGCUUGGUUUUUUUAUUUUUAUUUUUUUACUUUCUUAUCUUUGUGCUUGGAUAUAUAUUUGCUCUUCAGUUCUCUUGCUAUGUUCCAAUAUGCUAGCAAUAUCUUUCCCUUUGCUGCCUCAUUUAACCUAUGUAAUAAAGAUGCCUGUCAUGUCAUAAAGUAAGCAUUUUCCCUAGAAAUUUCUAUAAAAGUUCAUGUCAAACUGGAUAUUUCUAUUGAUUUUUGAAUAGAUAUUAGCAGGUUUUCUUCUGCCUUAUUUUUAAGAAUUGACUCUUAGACCUUCAAAUUUCUUGAAAGAAAUAUUGCUGUAAGUUGCAAUGACCCAAUGUAAUCCUGACCUGCUCUUUUUCUUCUUUUAUCCCUCAGUGCUCCAGUAUCCUAGCAGUUUUUCCUAUGCUUCUUACAAUUAGUCC